rnacentral:rRNA from 1 species
AGAGUUUGAUCCUGGCUCAGGAUGAACGCUGGCGGCGUGCCUAACACAUGCAAGUCGAACGAAGCAUACACCACGGAAGCCUCCGGGCGGAAGAGGGGUAUGACUGAGUGGCGGACGGGUGAGUAACGCGUGGGCAACCUGCCCUGUACCGGGGGAUAACACCCAGAAAUGGGUGCUAAUACCGCAUAAGCGCACAGUGCCGCAUGGCACGGUGUGAAAAACUCCGGUGGUACAGGAUGGGCCCGCGUCUGAUUAGCUAGUUGGCAGGGUAACGGCCUACCAAGGCAGCGAUCAGUAGCCGGCUUGAGAGAGUGACCGGCCACAUUGGGACUGAGACACGGCCCAAACUCCUACGGGAGGCAGCAGUGGGGAAUAUUGCACAAUGGGGGAAACCCCGAUGCAGCGACGCCGCGUGAGUGAAGAAGUAUUUCGGUAUGUAAAGCUCUAUCAGCAGGGAAGAAGAUGACGGUACCUGACUAAGAAGCCCCGGCUAACUACGUG